CCAUGAAAUAUAAUUUAGAUUCUAAAAACUAAAUCUUAUAUUUUUUAACAUCAUAUGCCGAAUUGAGCUAGACUACUUUAGAAGUAUCAUCUCUUUUUUACUUCUAAGUUUCUAGCCUUUGGAUCUAUUUUUGAUUACUAAUAGCCUUUGGAUCAAAUACUAUUUUACCUACCACCACCUACUACCAUCAUUCCAACCUUACUUUUCUCCAUCAAAGAGUUAAAAACUCAAAAACACUAACCUCUUGUCGCUUUUGAGAGUAUUCUAGCCCAACUCUCAUAUACCUUACGAUCAAUGGGCAUCAAAAUUGAUAUUUUUAACGAUCGGUAUGAAACGUUUUUCAAGUUAACGGUCUAAAAGAAUCGAAAUUAUUUAAUUUUUAAUAAAUAAUUUUAUUCACUGUGUAGAU
rnacentral:lncRNA from 1 species